UGGGGAAUAUUGGACAAUGGGCGAAAGCCUGAUCCAGCCAUGCCGCGUGUGUGAAGAAGGUCUUCGGAUUGUAAAGCACUUUAAGUUGGGAGGAAGGGCAUUAACCUAAUACGUUAGUGUUUUGACGUUACCGACAGAAUAAGCACCGGCUAACUCUGUGCCAGCAGCCGAGGUAAUACAGAGGGUGCAAGCGUUAAUCGGAAUUACUGGGCGUAAAGCGCGCGUAGUUGGUUUGUUAAGUUGGAUGUGAAAUCCCCGGGCUCAACCUGGGAACUGCAUUCAAAACUGACUGACUAGAGUAUGGUAGAGGGUGGUGGAAUUUCCUGUGUAGCGGUGAAAUGCGUAGAUAUAGGAAGGAACACCAGUGGCGAAGGCGACCACCUGGACUAAUACUGACACUGAGGUGCGAAAGCGUGGGGAGCAAACA
rnacentral:rRNA from 1 species